CUUCAGCGAACCCAGCCACAGCGGGUCGCCCGUCCGUUCGUGCCCGUACGUCGCCAUGAGCGCGCCGGCCUC
rnacentral:antisense_RNA from 1 species